CAGUCGCCGCGGGAAUACAGAGGGUGCUAGCGUUAAUCGGAUUUACUGGGCGUAAAGCGUGCGUAGGCGGCUAAUUGAGUCGGAUGUGAAAUCCCCGAGCUUAACUUGGGAAUUGCAUUCGAUACUGGUUAGCUAGAGUGUGGGAGAGGAUGGUAGAAUUCCAGGUGUAGCGGUGAAAUGCGUAGAGAUCUGGAGGAAUACCGAUGGCGAAGGCAGCCAUCUGGCCUAACACUGACGCUGAGGUACGAAAGCAUGGGGAGCAAACAGGAUUAGAUACCCCGGUAGUCCCUGUCUCUUAUAC
rnacentral:rRNA from 1 species